rnacentral:rRNA from 1 species
AUACGUAGGGGGCGAGCGUUGUCCGGAAUGAUUGGGCGUAAAGGGCGCGUAGGCGGCCCGGUAAGUCUGGAGUGAAAGUCCUGUUUUUAAGAUGGGAAUUGCUUUGGAUACUGUCGGGCUUGAGUGCAGGAGAGGUAAGUGGAAUUCCCAGUGUAGCGGUGAAAUGCGUAGAGAUUGGGAGGAACACCAGUGGCGAAGGCGACUUACUGGACUGUAACUGACGCUGAGGCGCGAAAGUGUGGGGAGCAAACAGGAUUAGAUACCCUGGUAGUCCACACUGUAACCGAUGAAUGCUAGGUGUAGGGGGUAUCGACCCCUUCUGUGCCGCAGUCAACACAAUAAGCAUUCCGCCUGGGGAGUACGGCCGCAAGGUUGAAACUCAAAUGAAUUGACGGGG